rnacentral:rRNA from 1 species
AAUCAACGCUGGCGGCGUGCCUAACACAUGCAAGUCGCACGAGAAAGGGGAGGCAAUCCCUGAGUAAAGUGGCGCACGGGUGAGUAACACGUGACUAACCUACCCUCGAGUGGGGAAUAACCUAGGAGAAAUCUGGGCUAAUACCGCAUAACACUUACGAGUCAAAGCAGCAAUGCGCUUGAGGAGGGGGUCGCGGCAGAUUAGCUAGUUGGCGGGGUAAUGGCCCACCAAGGCAAUGAUCUGUAUCCGGCCUGAGAGGGCGCACGGACACACUGGAACUGAAACACGGUCCAGACUCCUACGGGAGGCAGCAGUGGGGAAUUUUGCGCAAUGGGGGAAACCCUGACGCAGCAACGCCGC